rnacentral:misc_RNA from 1 species
GAUGAAGAACGCAGCGAAAUGCGAUACUUGGUGUGAAUUGCAGAAUCCCGUGAACCAUCGAGUCUUUGAACGCAAGUUGCGCCCGAAGCCAUUUGGUUGAGGGCACGUCUGCCUGGGCGUCACAUAUCGUUGCCCGAUGCCUGUUUGACUGUGAUAGGAAAUUCUAGGGCGAAAGAUGGCUUCCCGUGAGCGUUGUUGCCUCGCGGUUGGUUGAAAAUCGAGUCCUUGGUAGGGUGUGCCAUGAUAGAUGGUGGUCGAGUUUGCACGAGACCGAUCAUGUGUGCGCUCCCCAAAAUAUGGACUCUUUGACCCCACACGCGUCUUUUGACGCUCAUGACGAGACCUCAGGUCAGGCGGGGCUACCCGCUGAGUUUAAGCAUAUCAAUAAGCGGAGGA